UACGGAAGGCAGCAGUGGGGAAUAUUGGACAAUGGGCGAAAGCCUGAUCCAGCCAUGCCGCAUGAGUGAAGGAGGCCUUCGGGUUGUAAAGCUCUUUUAGUGAGAAAGAUAAUGACGGUACUCACAGAAGAAGUCCUGGCUAACUCCGUGCCAGCAGCCGCGGUAAUACGGAGAGGGCUAGCGUUAUUCGGAAUUAUUGGGCGUAAAGAGCGCGUAGGCUGAUUAGUAAGUUAAAAGUGAAAUCCCAAAGCUUAACUUUGGAAUUGCUUUUUAAAACUGCUAGUCUAGAGAUUGAAAGAGGAUAGAGGAAUUCCUAGUGUAGUGGUGAAAUUCGUAAAUAUUAGGAGGAACACCAGUGGCGAAGGCGUCUAUCUGGUUCAAAUCUGACGCUGAGGCGCGAAGGGCGUGGGGAGCAAACAGGGAUUAGAUACC
rnacentral:rRNA from 1 species